rnacentral:rRNA from 1 species
AAUCUUGCGCAAUGAGCGAAAGCUAGACGCAGCCAUGCCGCGUGUGUGAUGAAGGCUCUAGGGUUGUAAAGCACUUUCAACAGCGAAGAUAUACAGGGCAUUAAUACCGCGCUGUUUAGACGUUAACUGUAUAAGAAGCACCGGCUAACUCCGUGCCAGCAGCCGCGGUAAGUCGGAGGGUGCGAACGUUAAUCGGAAUUACUGGGCGUAAAGCGCACGUAGGCGAUUUGUUAAGUGGGAUGUGAAAGCCCCGGGCUCAACCUGGGAAUUGCAUUCCAAACUAGCAGAUUAGAGUGUAGUAGAGGGAGGUGGAAUUUACUGUGUAGCGGUGGAAUGCGUAGAUAUAGUAAGGAACACCAGUGGCGAAGGCGACCUCCUGGACUAACACUGACGCUGAGGAGCGAAAGCGCGGGGAGCAAACAGGAUUAGAUACCCUGGUAGUCCGCGCCGUA